rnacentral:rRNA from 1 species
UGAAUAUGGGGGGACCAUCCUCCAAGGCUAAAUACUCCUGACUGACCGAUAGUGAACCAGUACCGUGAGGGAAAGGCGAAAAGAACCCCGGCGAGGGGAGUGAAAAAGAACCUGAAACCGUGUACGUACAAGCAGUGGGAGCCUCUUUAUGGGGUGACUGCGUACCUUUUGUAUAAUGGGUCAGCGACUUAUAUUCUGUAGCAAGGUUAACCGAAUAGGGGAGCCGAAGGGAAACCGAGUCUUAACUGGGCGUUAAGUUGCAGGGUAUAGACCCGAAACCCGGUGAUCUAGCCAUGGGCAGGUUGAAGGUUGGGUAACACUAACUGGAGGACCGAACCGACUAAUGUUGAAAAAUUAGCGGAUGACUUGUGGCUGGGGGUGAAAGGCCAAUCAAACCGGGAGAUAGCUGGUUCUCCCCGAAAGCUAUUUAGGUAGCGCCUCGUGAACUCAUCUCGGGGGGUAGAGCACUGUUUCGGCAAGGGGGUCAUCCCGACUUACCAACCCGAUGCAAACUGCGAAUACCGGAGAAUGUUAUCACGGGAGACACACGGCGGGUGCUAACGUCCGUCGUGAAGAGGGAAACAACCCAGACCGCCAGCUAAGGUCCCAAAGUCAUGGUUAAGUGGGAAACGAUGUGGGAAGGCCCAGACAGCCAGGAUGUUGGCUUAGAAGCAGCCAUCAUUUAAAGAAAGCGUAAUAGCUCACUGGUCGAGUCGGCCUGCGCGGAAGAUGUAACGGGGCUAAACCAUGCACCGAAGCUGCGGCAGCGACACUAUGUGUUGUUGGGUAGGGGAGCGUUCUGUAAGCCUGUGAAGGUGUACUGUGAGGUAUGCUGGAGGUAUCAGAAGUGCGAAUGCUGACAUAAGUAACGAUAAAGCGGGUGAAAAGCCCGCUCGCCGGAAGACCAAGGGUUCCUGUCCAACGUUAAUCGGGGCAGGGUGAGUCGACCCCUAAGGCGAGGCCGAAAGGCGUAGUCGAUGGGAAACAGGUUAAUAUUCCUGUACUUGGUGUUACUGCGAAGGGGGGACGGAGAAGGCUAUGUUGGCCGGGCGACGGUUGUCCCGGUUUAAGCGUGUAGGCUGGUUUUCCAGGCAAAUCCGGAAAAUCAAGGCUGAGGUGUGAUGACGAGGCACUACGGUGCUGAAGCAACAAAUGCCCUGCUUCCAGGAAAAGCCUCUAAGCAUCAGGUAACAUCAAAUCGUACCCCAAACCGACACAGGUGGUCAGGUAGAGAAUACCAAGGCGCUUGAGAGAACUCGGGUGAAGGAACUAGGCAAAAUGGUGCCGUAACUUCGGGAGAAGGCACGCUGAUAUGUAGGUGAAGUCCCUCGCGGAUGGAGCUGAAAUCAGUCGAAGAUACCAGCUGGCUGCAACUGUUUAUUAAAAACACAGCACUGUGCAAACACGAAAGUGGACGUAUACGGUGUGACGCCUGCCCGGUGCCGGAAGGUUAAUUGAUGGGGUUAGCGCAAGCGAAGCUCUUGAUCGAAGCCCCGGUAAACGGCGGCCGUAACUAUAACGGUCCUAAGGUAGCGAAAUUCCUUGUCGGGUAAGUUCCGACCUGCACGAAUGGCGUAAUGAUGGCCAGGCUGUCUCCACCCGAGACUCAGUGAAAUUGAACUCGCUGUGAAGAUGCAGUGUACCCGCGGCAAGACGGAAAGACCCCGUGAACCUUUACUAUAGCUUGACACUGAACAUUGAGCCUUGAUGUGUAGGAUAGGUGGGAGGCUUAGAAGUGUGGACGCCAGUCUGCAUGGAGCCGACCUUGAAAUACCACCCUUUAAUGUUUGAUGUUCUAACGUUGACCCGUAAUCCGGGUUGCGGACAGUGUCUGGUGGGUAGUUUGACUGGGGCGGUCUCCUCCUAAAGAGUAACGGAGGAGCACGAAGGUUGGCUAAUCCUGGUCGGACAUCAGGAGGUUAGUGCAAUGGCAUAAGCCAGCUUGACUGCGAGCGUGACGGCGCGAGCAGGUGCGAAAGCAGGUCAUAGUGAUCCGGUGGUUCUGAAUGGAAGGGCCAUCGCUCAACGGAUAAAAGGUACUCCGGGGAUAACAGGCUGAUACCGCCCAAGAGUUCAUAUCGACGGCGGUGUUUGGCACCUCGAUGUCGGCUCAUCACAUCCUGGGGCUGAAGUAGGUCCCAAGGGUAUGGCUGUUCGCCAUUUAAAGUGGUACGCGAGCUGGGUUUAGAACGUCGUGAGACAGUUCGGUCCCUAUCUGCCGUGGGCGCUGGAGAACUGAGGGGGGCUGCUCCUAGUACGAGAGGACCGGAGUGGACGCAUCACUGGUGUUCGGGUUGUCAUGCCAAUGGCACUGCCCGGUAGCUAAAUGCGGAAGAGAUAAGUGCUGAAAGCAUCUAAGCACGAAACUUGCCCCGAGAUGAGUUCUCCCUGACUCCUUGAGAGUCCUGAAGGAACGUUGAAGACGACGACGUUGAUAGGCCGGGUGUGUAAGCGCAGCGAUGCGUUGAGCUAACCGGUACUAAUGAACCGUGAGGCUUAACCUUACAACGCCGAAG